rnacentral:rRNA from 1 species
UACGUAGGGGGCAAGCGUUGUCCGGAAUCAUUGGGCGUAAAGAGCGUGUAGGUGGCCCGGUCAGUCCGUCGUGAAAGUCCAGGGCUCAACCCUGGAAUGCCGGUGGAUACUGCCGGGCUGGAGUCCGGAAGAGGCGAGUGGAAUUCCUGGUGUAGCGGUGAAAUGCGCAGAUAUCAGGAGGAACACCAAUGGCGAAGGCAGCUCGCUGGGACGGUACUGACACUGAGACGCGAAAGCGUGGGGAGCAAACAGG